CCUACGGGUGGCAGCAGUGAGGAAUAUUGGUCAAUGGGCGGGAGACUGAACCAGCCAAGCCGCGUGAGGGAAGAAGGUACAGCGUAUCGUAAACCUCUUUUGUCAGGGAACAAAGGCGGGGACUAGUCCCCGGAUGAGGGUACCUGAAGAAAAAGCAUCGGCUAACUCCGUGCCAGCAGCCGCGGUAAUACGGAGGAUCCGAGCGUUAUCCGGAUUUAUUGGGUUUAAAGGGAGCGUAGAUGGGUUGUUAAGUCAGUUGUGAAAGGUUGCGGCUCAACCGUAAAAUUGCAAUUGAUACUGGCAGUCUUGAGUACAGUUGAGGUAGGCGGAAUGCGUGGUGUAGCGGUGAAAUGCUUAGAUAUCGCGAAGAACUCCGAUUGCGAAGGCAGCUUACUAAACUGCCACUGACGUUGAGGCACGAAAGUGUGGGUAUCAAACAGGAUUAGAUACCCGAGUAGUG
rnacentral:rRNA from 1 species